rnacentral:rRNA from 1 species
GCGGAAGGAUCAUUACCGAGUGAGGGCCCUCUGGGUCCAACCUCCCACCCGUGUUUAUUUUACCUUGUUGCUUCGGCGGGCCCGCCUUAACUGGCCGCCGGGGGGCUUACGCCCCCGGGCCCGCGCCCGCCGAAGACACCCUCGAACUCUGUCUGAAGAUUGUAGUCUGAGUGAAAAUAUAAAUUAUUUAAAACUUUCAACAACGGAUCUCUUGGUUCCGGCAUCGAUGAAGAACGCAGCGAAAUGCGAUACGUAAUGUGAAUUGCAAAUUCAGUGAAUCAUCGAGUCUUUGAACGCACAUUGCGCCCCCUGGUAUUCCGGGGGGCAUGCCUGUCCGAGCGUCAUUGCUGCCCUCAAGCACGGCUUGUGUGUUGGGCCCCGUCCUCCGAUCCCGGGGGACGGGCCCGAAAGGCAGCGGCGGCACCGCGUCCGGUCCUCGAGCGUAUGGGGCUUUGUCACCCGCUCUGUAGGCCCGGCCGGCGCUUGCCGAUCAACCCAAAUUUUUAUCCAGGUUGACCUCGGAUCAGGUAGGGAUACCCGCUGAACUUAA